rnacentral:rRNA from 1 species
GACGAACGCUGGCGGCGUGCCUAAUACAUGCAAGUCGAACGCAGUGGGGACGGGUGAGUAACCUGUGGGUAACCUCCCAUCAGAGGGGAUACCACUUGGACACAGGUGCUAUACCGAUAUUGAUGGCUGGAGCCGGGGUGCAUUAGCUAGUUGGUGAGGUAACGGCUCACCAAGGCCACGAUGCAUAACCGGCCUGAGAGGAUGAUCAGCCACACUGGGACUGAGACACGGCCCAGACUCCUACGGGAGGCAGCAGUAGGGAAUCUUCGACAAUGGACGAAAGUCUGAUCGAGCAACGCCGCGUGAGUGAAGAAGGUCUUCGGAUCGUAAAGCUCUGUUGGUAGGGAAGCGUUAUCAAAACAGAAAGCAACGGCUAACUACGUGCCAGCAGCCGCGGUAAUUC